rnacentral:ribozyme from 1 species
CCUAACAUAAACCAAAGAAGAAAGAUUGUUUCCCGUGAAUGCCAUCCCACCACCAUUUGCUACUCACA